GGAGAAUCGCUUGAACCUGGGAGGUGGAGGUUGCAGUGAGCUGAGAUCACGCCACUGCACUCCAGCCUGGGCGACAGAGUGAGACUUUGUCUC
ensembl:miRNA